rnacentral:rRNA from 1 species
AGCAGUAGCCACGGUAAUACGAAGGGGGCUAGCGUUGCUCGGAAUUACUGGGCGUAAAGGGAGCGUAGGCGGGUCGUUUAGUCAGAGGUGAAAUCCCGGGGCUCAACCUCGGAACUGCCUUUGAUACUGGCGACCUUGAGUAUGGGAGAGGUGAGUGGAACUCCGAGUGUAGAGGUGAAAUUCGUAGAUAUUCGGAAGAACACCAGUGGCGAAGGCGACUCACUGGCCCAUUACUGACGCUGAGAGACGAAAGCUAGGGGAGCAAAUGGGAUUAGAUACCCCCGUAGUCCCUGUCUCUUAUAC